rnacentral:lncRNA from 1 species
GUGAUGUUUUUCUGGUUCAAUUAGACAAACCAUGAUAGAAAAACACUAUUUCCAGAAAAUCCAAACACUAUUAAAAUAUUGAAACGAUGAUAUAGGAAAGUAAGGGAAAAAGCUGGGUUCUCAUUUAUAUAUCCUUAUCUCAGUUUAAUAAUUAGAAAAAUAUUGGAACAAAGUGAUGUUUUCCUGGUUUAAUUAAACAAACCAUGAUGGAAAAACACUAUUUCCAGAAGAUCCAAACACUAUUAAAAAAUUGAAACGAUGAUAUAGGAAAGUAAGUGAAAAAGCUGGGUUCUCAUUUAUAUAUCCUUAUCUCAGUUUAAUAAUUAGAAAAAUAUUGGAACAAAGUGAUGUUUUCCUGGUUUAAUUAAACAAACCAUGAUGGAAAAACACUAUUUCCAGAAGAUCCAAACACUAUUAAAAAAUUGAAACGAUGAUAUAGGAAAGUAAGUGAAAAAGCUGGGUUCUCAUUUAUAUAUCCUUAUCUCAGUUUAAUAAUUAGAAAAAUAUUGGAACAAAGUGAUGUUUUCCUGGUUUAAUUAAACAAACCAUGAUGGAAAAACACUAUUUCCAGAAGAUCCAAACACUAUUAAAAAAUUGAAACGAUGAUAUAGGAAAGUAAGUGAAAAAGCUGGGUUCUCAUUUAUAUAUCCUUAUCUCAGUUUAAUAAUUAGAAAAAUAUUGGAACAAAGUGAUGUUUUCCUGGUUUAAUUAAACAAACCAUGAUGGAAAAACACUAUUUCCAGAAGAUCCAAACACUAUUAAAAAAUUGAAACGAUGAUAUAGGAAAGUAAGUGAAAAAGCUGGGUUCUCAUUUAUAUAUCCUUAUCUCAGUUUAAUAAUUAGAAAAAUAUUGGAACAAAGUGUUGUUUUUCUGGUUCAAUUAGACAAACCAUGGUAGAAAAACACUAUUCCCAGAAGAUCCAAACACUAUUAAAAAAUUGAAACGAUGAUAUAGGAAAGUAGGUGAAAAAGCUGGGUUCUCAUUUAUAUAUCCUUAUCUCAGUUUAAUAAUUAGAAAAACAUUGGAACAAAAUGUUGUUUUUCUGGUUCAAUUAGACAAACCAUGGUAGAAAAACACUAUUUCCAGAAGAUCCAAACACUAUUAAAAAAUUGAAACGAUGAUAUAGGAAAGUAAGUGAAAAAGCUGGGUUCUCAUUUAUAUAUCCUUAUCUCAGUUUAAUAAUUAGAAAAAUAUUGGAACAAAGUGAUGUUUUCCUGGUUUAAUUAAACAAACCAUGAUGGAAAAACACUAUUUCCAGAAGAUCCAAACACUAUUAAAAAAUUGAAACGAUGAUAUAGGAAAGUAAGUGAAAAAGCUGGGUUCUCAUUUAUAUAUCCUUAUCUCAGUUUAAUAAUUAGAAAAAUAUUGGAACAAAGUGAUGUUUUCCUGGUUUAAUUAAACAAACCAUGAUGGAAAAACACUAUUUCCAGAAGAUCCAAACACUAUUAAAAAAUUGAAACGAUGAUAUAGGAAAGUAAGUGAAAAAGCUGGGUUCUCAUUUAUAUAUCCUUAUCUCAGUUUAAUAAUUUGAAAAAUAUUGGAACAAAGUGAUGUUUUUCUGGUUCAAUUAGACAAACCAUGGUAGAAAAACACUAUUUCCAGAAGAUCCAAACACUAUUA